AUUGAACGCUGGCGGCAGGCCUAACACAUGCCAGUCGAGCGGAUGAAGGGAGCUUUCUCCUGGAUUCAGCGGCGGACGGAUGAGUAAUUCCUAGGAAUCUGCCUUGUCGUGGGGGAUAACGUCCGGAAACGGGCGCUAAUACCGCAUACGUCCUGAGGGAGAAAGUGGAGGAUCUUCGUACCUCACGCUAUCAGCUUAGCCUAGGUCGGAUUAGCUAGUUGGUGGGGUAAAGGCCUACAAAGACGACGAUCCGUAACUGGUCUGAUAGGAUGAUCAGUCAAAUUGGAACUGGGACACGGCCCAGACUCUUACGGGAGGAAGCAGAGGGGAAUAUUGGACAAUGGGCGAAGGCCUGAUCCAGCCAUGCCGCGUGUGUGAAGAAGGUCUUCGGAUUGUAAAGCCUGUUAAGUUGGGAGGAAGGGGAGUAAGUUAAUACCUUGCUGUAUUGACGUUACCAACAGAAUAAGCACCGGCUAACUUCGUG
rnacentral:rRNA from 1 species